rnacentral:rRNA from 1 species
GAUGAACGCUGGCGGCGUGCCUAAUACAUGCAAGUCGAGCGAACGGACGAUAAGCUUGCUCUUCUGACGUUAGCGGCGGACGGGUGAGUAACACGUGGAUAACCUACCUAUAAGACUGGGAUAACUUCGGGAAACCGGAGCUAAUACCGGAUAAUAUUUUGAACCGCAUGGUUCAAUAGUGAAAGACGGUUUUGCUGUCACUUAUAGAUGGAUCCGCGCUGGAUUAGCUAGUUGGUAAGGUAACGGCUUACCAAGGCGACGAUGCGUAGCCGACCUGAGAGGGGGAGCGGCAACACUGGAACUGAGACACGGUCCAGACUCCUACGGGAGGCAGCAGUGGGGAAGAGUGGGCAAUGGGCGAAAGCCUGAAGGAGAAAGGCCGCGUGGGUGAAGAAGGGCUUCGGAUCGUAAAACGCUGUUGUUGGGGAAGAAAAGAUGUGGGAGAAGAGGGGGAGGUCGUGACGGUACCGAAGGAGAAAGCGACGGCUAACUUCGUG